rnacentral:sRNA from 1 species
UGUUAUAUUCAUAGUGAGCCCUACAUUU